UGCUCCAGUGGUGCAAUAGGUUAGUGUGCAGUACUUACAAGACACUAUGUGUGCGAGAGAUGCUGAGGUUGUGAGUUCAACCCUUACCUGGAGCACUGUUUUC
rnacentral:tRNA from 1 species